rnacentral:pre_miRNA from 1 species
CCAGUCUCAUGCCCUUAUCACUUUUCCAGCCCAGCUUUUGGAUUCUAAGUGUUGGACGGAGAACUGAUAAGGGUAGGUGAUUGA